UCAGACUGAAAAUGAUCUCAGAUGUAACAGUGAUCUGAGAUCAGAUAACUGAGCCUAAAGUAUUCUGGUGCAUUAAAGCUUAUCUCCUGUUCACCUCUUGGCAGAGCGAUAAAACCCAUGUUCCAACAAAA
rnacentral:snoRNA from 1 species